rnacentral:rRNA from 1 species
CACAGGAGAGCUUGCUCUCUGGGUGGCGAGUGGCGGACGGGUGAGGAAUACAUCGGAAUCUACCUUUUCGUGGGGGAUAACGUAGGGAAACUUACGCUAAUACCGCAUACGACCUACGGGUGAAAGUGGGGGACCGCAAGGCCUCACGCGAUUAGAUGAGCCGAUGUCCGAUUAGCUAGUUGGCGGGGUAAUGGCCCACCAAGGCGACGAUCGGUAGCUGGUCUGAGAGGAUGAUCAGCCACACUGGAACUGAGACACGGUCCAGACUCCUACGGGAGGCAGCAGUGGGGAAUAUUGGACAAUGGGCGCAAGCCUGAUCCAGCCAUACCGCGUGGGUGAAGAAGGCCUUCGGGUUGUAAAGCCCUUUUGUUGGGAAAGAAAUCCUAUCGGUUAAUAACCGGUGGGGAUGACGGUACCCAAAGAAUAAGCACCGGCUAACUUCGUGCCAGCAGCCGCGGUAAUACGAAGGGUGCAAGCGUUACUCGGAAUUACUGGGCGUAAAGCGUGCGUAGGUGGUGGUUUAAGUCUGCUGUGAAAGCCCUGGGCUCAACCUGGGAAUUGCAGUGGAUACUGGAUCACUAGAGUGUGGUAGAGGGAUGCGGAAUUUCUGGUGUAGCAGUGAAAUGCGUAGAGAUCAGAAGGAACAUCCGUGGCGAAGGCGGCAUCCUGGGCCAACACUGACACUGAGGCACGAAAGCGUGGGGAGCAAACAGGAUUAGACACCCUGGUAGUCCACGCCCUAAACGAUGCGAACUGGAUGUUGGGUGCAACUUGGCACCCAGUAUCGAAGCUAACGCGUUAAGUUCGCCGCCUGGGGAGUACGGUCGCAAGACUGAAACUCAAAGGAAUUGACGGGGGCCCGCACAAGCGGUGGAGUAUGUGGUUUAAUUCGAUGCAACGCGAAGAACCUUACCUGGUCUUGACAUCCA